AUGUUCAGUUCCAGCAUGAUCAUGAGGCCCAAUGGCAAGAAGCUGGAUGAGCUGGAGUCCAGGCCCUCCUUGAGUUGGAGAGGAACUCGGGCCUCCGAGCCCAGCUAUGGGAGAUAAAUACAACAGCAGCCAAGGAAACUGAAGUUGGCGGUGGUUGGAAGGUUCUUACCAUCUUUGUUGCCAUUCCUCAACUGAAAUCUUUCCAGAACAUCCAAGUCCGGCUAGUCUUUGAAUUGGAGAAAAAGUUCACUGGGAAGCAUGUUGUCUUUAAGGCUCAGAGGAGAAUUCUGCCUCAGCCAACUUGAAAAAAGCCAUACAAAAAACGAGCAAAAGUGUCCCAGGAUCUGCGCUUGGACAGCCGCGCGUGAUGCAGUCCUGGAGGACUUGGUUUUCCCAAGCAAAAUUGUAGGCAAGAGGAUCCACGUGAAGCUGGAUGGCAGUCUGCUCACAAAGGUUCGUUUGGAUAAAGCACAGCAGAGCGACAUAGAGCACAAGGUUGAAACUUUCUGUGUUAUCUGUAAGAAGCUCACCAGCAAGGAUGUUAACUUUGAGUUCCAGAGUUUCCGUUGUAAACAUAAAUGAUGGGGGGUGGGGGGAAGCUCGUAGGUGUCCCUCCUGUUUACCUGAGGCAAAUAUGGUUUUCCGUAUCUCUGGAAUAUAUAAUCAUUCCCCAUCAGAUCUUAACACAGUUCACACCAUAGAAUGAGUCUCAGAUUCUAUAGUGACCUUGAGGAAGUCAUGCAAUCUACCUUGACCUUCUUAUCCCAAGUGUAAAGGGAUUUUCUCUAGAAUUCCCACCUCUAUCCCCCAUAAGAAAGAAUUUCUGCUUUUUA